AACGCACAUUGCGCCCUUUGGCAUUCCGAGGGGCAUGCCUUUUCGAGCGUCAUGAGCAACAACAAUCAAGCUUCGCUUGGAAUUGAGCGCACGGAGACAGGUGCGCUUCAAAGCAGAGGUAAAUGGCGUGGUCCGUAGGUCGGUAUAAGGUGCGGUCUGUUGGCCGUUCCGGCGCCGGUCGGCUCGCGCGGGAUGCCAGGUAUUGUACGCAGUCACCUAGGCGGCCCAGCGGGCUAGGGUUCUUCGGCCCAGUAACUGCUAGUCUAGAACAGAAGGAAGCUAGACGUUGGACCUCGAAUAAGGUAGGGAUACCCGCUGAACUUAA
rnacentral:misc_RNA from 1 species